rnacentral:rRNA from 1 species
UACGAAGGGUGCAAGCGUUACUCGGAAUUAUUGGGCGUAAAGAGCGUGUAGGCGGCCAGGUAGGUCUGCUGUGAAAACUCGAGGCUCAACCUCGAGACGUCGGCGGAAACCAUCUGGCUAGAGUCCGGAAGAGGAGAGUGGAAUUCCUGGUGUAGCGGUGAAAUGCGCAGAUAUCAGGAAGAACACCCGUGGCGAAGGCGGCUCUCUGGGACGGUACUGACGCUGAGACGCGAAAGCGUGGGGAGCGAACAGG